CAGCAGCCGCGGUAAAACGUAGGGGGCUAGCGUUAUCCGGAUUUACUGGGCGUAAAGGGUGCGUAGGUGGUCCUUCAAGUCGGUGGUUAAAGGCUACGGCUCAACCGUAGUAAGCCGCCGAAACUGGAGGACUUGAGUGCAGGAGAGGAAAGUGGAAUUCCCAGUGUAGCGGUGAAAUGCGUAGAUAUUGGGAGGAACACCAGUAGCGAAGGCGGCUUUCUGGACUGCAACUGACACUGAGGCACGAAAGCGUGGGUAGCAAACAGGAUUAGAUACCCCGGUAGUCCCUGUCUCUUAUACA
rnacentral:rRNA from 1 species